rnacentral:rRNA from 1 species
GACGACGCUGGCGGCGUGCCUAAUACAUGCAAGUAGAACGAGUUGCGAACGGGUGAGUAACGCGUGGUCACCUGCCUCAUAGCGGGGGAUAACUAUUGGAAACGAUAGCUAAUACCGCAUACCAUCGGAUUUGCCCCGAUGGGAUUAGCUAGUAGGUGGGGUAAUGGCUCACCUAGGCGACGAUCCCUAGCUGGUCUGAGAGGAUGACAAGCCACACUGGAAAUGAGACACGGUCCAGACUCCUACGGGAGGCAGCAGUGGGGAAUUUUGGACAAUGGGGGAAAACCUGAUCCAGCCAUCCCGCGUGUGCGAUGAAGGCCUGCGGGUUGUAAAGCACUUUUGGCAGGAAAGCGGUACCUGCAGAAUAAGCACCGGCUAACUACGUGCCAGCAGCCGCGGUAAUUC